GUUUGAUCCUGGCUCAGAUUGAACGCUGGCGGCAUGCUUUACACAUGCAAGUCGAACGGUAACAGGGAGCUUGCUCCGCUGACGAGUGGCGAACGGGUGAGUAAUGCAUCGGAACGUACCGUGUAAUGGGGGAUAACGUAGCGAAAGUUACGCUAAUACCGCAUACGCCCUGAGGGGGAAAGUGGGGGACCGCAAGGCCUCACGUUAUACGAGCGGCCGAUGUCGGAUUAGCUAGUUGGUGGGGUAAAGGCCUACCAAGGCGACGAUCCGUAGCGGGUCUGAGAGGAUGAUCCGCCACACUGGGACUGAGACACGGCCCAGACUCCUACGGGAGGCAGCAGUGGGGAAUUUUGGACAAUGGGGGCAACCCUGGAUCCAGCCAUGCCGCGUGAGUGAAGAAGG
rnacentral:rRNA from 1 species